AGUGAACGCUGGCGGUAGACCUAACACAUGCAAGUCGAACGGCAGCACAGUAAGAGCUUGCUCUUACGGGUGGCGAGUGGCGGACGGGUGAGGAAUACAUCGGAAUCUACUUUUUCGUGGGGGAUAACGUAGGGAAACUUACGCUAAUACCGCAUACGACCUACGGGUGAAAGCAGGGGAUCUUCGGACCUUGCGCGAUUGAAUGAGCCGAUGUCGGAUUAGCUAGUUGGCGGGGUAAAGGCCCACCAAGGCGACGAUCCGUAGCUGGUCUGAGAGGAUGAUCAGCCACACUGGAACUGAGACACGGUCCAGACUCCUACGGGAGGCAGCAGUGGGGAAUAUUGGACAAUGGGCGCAAGCCUGAUCCAGCCAUACCGCGUGGGUGAAGAAGGCCUUCGGGUUGUAAAGCCCUUUUGUUGGGAAAGAAAAGCAGCAGGUUAAUACCCCGCUGUUCUGACGGUACCCAAAGAAUAAGCACCGGCGAACUGCGU
rnacentral:rRNA from 1 species